GCUGGCCGAGGCGGCGAAGGCGGCGCGUCGGGGCGGCGGCGACCGGCGGGAAGGGGCGCCCGGGCACGGAGGGUGUCGGCGGGAGGGUUUCCAGGCGGCGGCGGUGCAGGAGGGAGGUCACGAGUGGGUCACGGCCAGGGCUCGGUCUGGGCUGGCAGAUGUGGCCCGGGGCGGCAGCGGCGGCGCAGGCGACGGCGACGGUUGGCGGGGAAGGUCGCCGGAGCACGGGGCGACACCGAGGGAGGGUCCGAAGGUGGCAGCAGUCUCGGGCCUCCACACAACCCGAGAGGAAAGAGGAAGAGAGAAAGAGAGGGAAGAAGAUGGAGAGUGGUGGCUGUCGCGUGGUUGGCCGGCCGGGGCUUGAUCGGCGGCGGCCAGGGCACGCGCAGCAAGUGCAGGGAAGAGGUAGGAGGCGG
rnacentral:lncRNA from 1 species